rnacentral:misc_RNA from 1 species
AACUGCCAGUUAUGGUUCCUGAACCACUGGUUCAGGUUCAAUGAAAUCAUAAACUUAAAUGAAAUUGUUAUAGGACGAUCUGGAGGAUGGUUCCUGAACCGCCAAUUCUGGUUCAAGUCCCGAUUUAAAAUGAUUUUAAGGGCAGUUCGAAAAAUGAUGGUUUAAGACAGCAUGGAAGAUGGUUUGGAAGCAGUUUAAGGGCGGCCUAAGGCCGACUUAGACGAAAAAAUUAGAGAAAAAUUUUACUAAUUUAGAAUUUCGUUUAUAUUUGUAAAAAUAUUUUAAU